rnacentral:rRNA from 1 species
AACUGUCUCUUAAUUAUAAAUAAAAUUUAAUUUUUUAAUUAAAAAGUUAAAAUAAGUUAAAAAGACGAGAAGACCCUAUAGAGUUUUAUAAAUUUAUUAAUUAAGGUUAUUUAAUUAUAAAAUAAAUUAAAAUUGAUAAAUUUAUUUUGUUGGGGUGACAGAAAAAUAAAUAGAACUUUUUUUUAUUAUGAAACAUAUAUAAGUGGGAAUUUGAUCCAGUAAUAUUGAUUAUAAGAAAAAAUUACCUUAGGGAUAACAGCGUAAUUUUUUUUUUUAGUUCAUAUAAAAAAAAGAGUUUGCGACCUCGAUGUUGGAUUAAGAUAAAAUUUAAAUGCAGAAG